GCUUAAGGCCAUACCACCUUAGGCACGCCCGAUCUCGGAAGCUAAGCAGGGUCGGGCUGGUUAGUACUUGGAUGGGUGACCGCCUGGGAAUACCAGGUGCUGUAAACA
rnacentral:rRNA from 10 species